rnacentral:rRNA from 1 species
GGUGAAGUGUUCGGAUUGGCAGCUUAGGGUGGCAACACCUCAGGUCUGCCGAGAAGUUCAUUAAACCCUCCCACCUAGAGGAAGGAGAAGUCGUAACAAGGUUUCCGUAGGUGAACCUGCGGAAGGAUCAUUGA